AUUUAGGACGUGGAGGCAACAAUUCAUUGUGCAAAGUGGCUCUCAAUGGUUGGAGGAUCUAGCACUGGAGACCAAAGAAUCAGAUGUGGUUGGUAAUUCUGUAACCAAGACACAGAAAAAUGUCACAACUAAGAGGUCUCUCUCACAUAAUAAGAAAAUCGCCAGGAAGCUGCUCCUUGAUGAAGGCACUGGAUACGAAGAUGAUGGCUGCGCAGAGUAGAGUUGGAUCUCUCGGAAAGGCAUCGUCAAGUGUGAUGUGUUUGGUCCUUUAACCUAUGUUUGUUGGAGAGAUGAGCAUCGGGCAAUGGGUUUGUCAAGCAUUACGAACUGAACUUGCCUCUGUUCUGGACAAGCAGCUAUCGCAAGAUGCUUGCUCCCUCUGCCUGUUACUUGAACGAACUUCUUUCAGCAAUAUUUGGAUUUAAAUAUUAAACAAAUGCAUAUAGUUAAUAUGUCGAUAAUGUACUUUGCCACGACCUAUGUUAAUAUGUUGAUGACGUGCUUCCUAC